rnacentral:lncRNA from 1 species
GUACGAGAUUGGCCAUGGCAGCCAUCAUAGAGGCAGCCAUGCAGUAUAAAGAUGAGAAGUGAGAACAAUAUAAAUGUGGUGAGAAAUUUUGUUUUAAAGAAAGAAAACCUUGAAUAAAACACGAUGUAUUUGUGGAAAUAGUAAAGGUCAGUAUGUUAUGUAUAAUAUGAAAUAUAUUAGUAAAAUCUACUUUGAUUAUCUAGUUAGUUUUAACCUCAUUAACUUGAAUAUGUCGAAAUUUAUCUUAUGCUCAUAGACAUAGGAUUUCAAUCGUUUGUAAUCAUAUGACAUAAAAAUUGCCUUACAAAAUGAACGGUUUGUUAUUAUAUUUAAAAACCAGCCAGGCACUUAGGCCAAUGACCAGCUAAAACAUUCACAAUAUAAAUUCACAUCACAAGCACUAAAAGCAGGCUCGACUUCAAAGUUUCAAACCAUUAACAUUUUACGCUUGGAGGUUAAUAUGCCAAUGAGCCUGCCACAUGCAAUGCUAGAAUGGAGACUAUAAAACUAUAAAGAAUUAAAGUCUAUGCAUGUUGAAGAUUUUACACAAGGUAAAAUUGGGCUGCAGAAACCAGAGUUCCUUAAUUUUUUUGUCAGAGAUACCCAUCGUAACAGCCAGGGAUUCCAAUGUGGGAUUCUGGAAAGUAUGUCACCUUGGCCAUUAAGAGCCUUGUUUUUGUAUGCAUCCAGUUUCUCUGCCUUCCUGUCUUACAACACUACAAAUAUCAAAUGUUAAAACAUCUGCUAAUCUUUGUCUUUUCCAACUUCUCCACAAUUUCACCAACUUCAUAUGUCAGUCAUUUUUUUGUCCAGGUAUGUAAUAGGCUUAGGGUGUAUCUGGUCGUUUCAUCCCCCUUGCCGUUUUGUCCUCUUUAGGUUUCAUUCCCUUUACAUUUCGUCCCCCACAAUAGAUACCAUUUUCUCUAUAAACUAUUUAUCCUACUUUUUCAUAACAUAUAUUUAUUUUUGUUUCUACUUUGAUCACUCAUAAUUUUGUCAUCAUGAUUUCAGUUUUGUCAUUUAUACUUUCAAUAUACUUUCAUUUAUAUAUACACUGCAUGACUCAGUGACUGCAAGCUUUUUGACUGUGUUAUGGAUGCAACACUUUCUUGUAUUGAGGAUAAUUCUGUUUUAUGAGAUUGUAUCUCAGUGGAUUGUAUGCCUGGAUUAUACACAUGGGACUGUUUCAUUUCCUUUUUGGUCAUCGUAUUGUUUAUAAUAGUGGCAUGAUGACAAAAUUAUGAGUGAUCAAAGUAGAAACAAAUAUAAUUAUGUAGAAACAAAUAUAAUUAUAACAAAUAUUAUAUAUGCCUGGCCACGGUGGGAAUCAAACCUACAACCUUUGGAAUACUAGCCCAAUGCUCUGCCAACUGAACUAUGCGAUCAGGUCGGUUUGAGUAUGUGAUGUUGGCAGAGCAUUGGGCUAGUAUUCCAAAGGUUGUAGGUUCGAUUCCCACCGUGGCCAGGCAUAUUUUUCGAGCCUGCCCGGGGUGGAUACACACUCAGAGUAACAUCACAAACAUCAUAUUCACCUGAGUACAUUACACCAACACAGAAGAAAUCAUGAUUACUCGAUUGCAUUGAUAUCGAAGGAACUUAGACUCAUUUCCGAUUAAUAUCACAUACUUGAACUGACCUGAUCAUGUAACUCAGUUGGCAGAGCACUGGGCUAGUAUCCCAAAUAUCGUAGGUUCGAUUCCCAUAGUGGCCAGGCAUAUUUUUCAAGCUUGCCCAGUGCGGACACACACUCAGAUUAACAUUACAAACAUCAUAUUCACCUAAGUACAUAACACCAACACAGAAAAAUUCAAAUAUAAAUAUAUCUGACUUGUGUAUAGUGUAUAUAUAGUUCAUGAAAAAGUAAUAUAAAGUAAGUUUAUAGACAAAACGGUAUCUAGUGUGGGGACAAAACUUAAAGGGGACAAAAUAGAGAGGGGACGAAACGGGGGGGGGGGGCAAACGAGGAGGGCACAAAACAGCAAGGGGAGGGCAUGAAACGACCAUAAAACAGGUCCCCACGUCACUGUUUCACUCAACUGACACAAGUGCACCUCUGGGAUUAGCACUGAGAUCAGGUGUGCUAUAUUUUGAAAGAGAAUUUGCCCUCAGGUGCGCUUGUGCCUAGCGUGAGGCGGUUUCUACAAAAAAACAGAAAACCAACCAAAAAAAACUGAGUGUUUUUAAACCAGUUUUUAAAAAAAAUACAUUCAAAAAUCGAAACUAUGGGGAAAACACUCUACUCAGUACUCACACAAGAUAUUAAACAUAAGGUAUUUUGAAGACAUUAUCAAAUUUCACAGGGAGCCCAAGCGUUGAUCUGUUAGCAUUGGUAUGUUUUUCAGUUGAUUUAUUUUAGUGUCUUUAUAUUGCCUUUUAAUUGAAUUAUAUGUUCACUAAAUUACACUAAUAUGUCAUAUAAUAAUAAUACUCCUAUAGUCUAACAUAUAAUAACAACAUAUACGUUAAUGAUUUGUAUUUGUAUGUUUUUCAGUUUAUUUAUCAAGAUCUAUUAUUAGCUUAUAUAAAAGCACUGCCUUUUGAACCUGACAGCCUGUUCACAGGAUACGCGCGCGGAAGAGGCGGCAAGAUAUAAAUAGUGAUAAGGGAUGAAACUCUUAAAGUUUAUCAUAUUAUGAAUGCCCCGACUUGAGUGGACCGAGCAAUGAGUGACAUGUCAAAUGAACGCCGUCAAUCUUUAGGAAUCAAUGAUAUAAACAAGGAAACAAACUCGAGGGGAGUCAAUUUGUGUCGACCAUAAAGGUUUCAAUGUUUAAAAUUUAAAAUUAGUUAACUACAUUAGGUCCAGUCAAGUCAGGGCAUUCAUGCUACGAAACGUCGCUAUUAAAAACUAUAGCAAUUUAUAAGACGCUAGGGCUUUUAUUUCACAAAAUUUUUCAUACUAGGGGGUCAACUUUUUGCAAUAGGCACUUCUUUAAAUGUCAUUGUCGAUUUUUUUGCUGUUUGAAGCUUAUGCUAUUGUUUAGCGGCAAAAUGCAUAUAAAAUUAUGAUGCUCAAAAACAAUGGAUAAUUCAAUUUUGUGUUAACAAAAACAAAAGCGUGUGCAGCGAAUAAAUUUCACUCACUUAGCGAAUAAAUUUUUACAUUGUCAUUGGCGUGUUAAUUUAAAAAUUAAACCACCUUGCAAUUCCAUUCACAAAUGUAAAUAAUCAUGUAAAUAUUUUCUCUACAAAAUGUGCUCUCAGAAUGCUGUAAGUGCCAUUUCCGGGAUUCAAAUUUUAAAAUUUUCCCAGAGUAUUUUCGUAAAGUGUUCACCACUGGCCGAAUUUCAAGCUAAAAUUCGUUUUAACAAGCACAUACAGCUUCAAAAUAAAACAUUGCCGAAUUGUAAUUUCAUCCCUUGUCGCUUUUCCUAUUUUCAGUGGGAAAUAACAUGCGUAUCCUGCGAACGGGCUGUCAGGUUCAGUUCGAAAGGCGGUGCUUUUAUAUAAGCUAAUAAUAGAUCAUAAAUAAACUGAAAAACAUACAAAUCAACUUAUAUGUUGUUAUUAUAUGUUCGACAAUAGGAGUAUUAUUAUUUAGUGUAAUGUAGUGUUAUAAUUCAGUUAAAAGGCAAUAUGAAGACACUAAAAUAAAUAAACUGAAAAAGAUACAACACAGACACAGAUCAAUGCUUGGGCUCUCUGUGCAAAUUUCAAACAAAAUCGCUUUAGUUUUUCAUAUGUAAAUGCCAUUAAAAAAUCAUUAAUAAUUCAUGAAGAAAACACAAAGAAAAAUCAUAAGCGUGUCGUAUCUGUAUAUGUCAUACAGAUUCAUGUUGAUUUACAUAAACUUUAACUUUGAUUUUAACUUUGAUUUUAACAUUGUAUAUCCGAUACAACACUGCCGCUCAUGUUGUAAAUAGUACAAACUUGAUUCAUUUGCAACAAACUCGUAUAAGGAUGGUUUGAUUUUAGUAAAAUACUGAUUUUUCUUAUGUUUUUUUUUUCAUUUUUCCCUGGUUUUCUCAGUUUUUCUCCAAAAGUAACAUCGAGUAUUUCGGUUUUCAAAAAACAUCGGGGUUUUUCGGUUUAAAACCGCCUCACCCUACUUGUGCCACGUUCUGCAAACUGGGAUGCAUGACGUUAGGAAUCCAAUGGUGCAAUCAUGAAAACAAGACUCUAACAAGGCCCACUUCUAAUGUGAACCAUUAGAACCAUUUAUCCCAGUAUCUUCAUGGUGACAGGAAAAGUGAAUUUCAUCCCGGACUGGUAGAUAUAAAUCAGUUUUAGAUGCAUUGCAGUGCAGGCCAACAUGAUCAGCCAAAAUAUAUCAUGCUUAUUUAAUUAAAACAAGUAUGAAGUCAAAUAUUAGUCUAUAGUCCAACAAAAACUGAUUUAAAAUGUCCGAACACUCUUUGUCUUGGAUAAACAUUUGAUUUACACUGCAAAAUUUAUUUGCAGGUUAAAUUAACCAGACCAUGUUUGGCGAAGUGGUUAGCGCACUUGCCUUUCACCCCUAAGGUUGCAGGUUCUAGUCCCAGUGAGAACUUUCUCGACUCGAACUCAGUCCUCAUGUGAAAAGAGUAAAAGCCAACACUCUGCCGCAAGUUGUGGGUUUCCCCUGGGUACUCUGGUUUCCUCCCACGGGGAAAGCCGACAGGGUGGGUUAGGUAAAAGGGCCCACAAUUGGCAUAUGCCGUUGUGAUGACUCUGCCCCACUGCCCUGCCCUAGUUGGCAAAGCUAAAUAAAUAAAAAACCUUGAUUAUUUCAACAAGACCUAAGGCAGUUUAUCUUGUAAGGAACUAUUAGUUCUGUAUAACCUGUCCUAAUUAUACUAUUUUUGUAAUUUCAAAAAUGUAUAAUUAAAUUGAGUAAAUAAAUAAAAGUACAAUAACCAGAAAAUAUAACCAGAAAUAUUAAGUUAUGGUACCCGAAGGUCAAAAUAGUGUUAUGUCUCUAGUUAACUAGGAAAUUUUAACCAGAUUGUUUUUAGAGUGUGCACAGAACUGUUGAGAUAUUCUAUAUUAACCAUAGUUUUAAGAACUAUUUAGAAAACUUACCUGGUAUGUUGUUUGGCUUUGCUUUAAAUGAGGUUCCCUUUAUAUUUGAUAAUCCUAAAGAUAUAAGAAUAUACACUUGUACUCUUUCAAUGUUUUUGAAAUAGAUACAGUACUGUAGAUUUGGACAAAGGCAAUUGAUCAGUGACUUUUAAAGUUUAUACUUUACAAUAAACAUAUAUGUAUUAACGGGUAUAAGGUAUAAAGGUAUAAACUACAGGUAUAAAGCAAACACUCUUUGCUACCACGACACUUAUCUCUAGAAGUAAACGAUUUGGUACAGUACUUAAUUAAUUUACGAGUAUAAAUUAAGAUGGAAAUGUUAACGAAGGAAAGGGCAACAUGGACGAUCGUGCUCAAUAGGAUAACUGUUUGUACACGAUUUCAUUUUGGUGAAGAUCACCUUGAGUUAAGUUUAUGCACAAAACUAUGCAGAAAAUUACAGGUUUCAAACUCUUACCGUAUUAUUUCUUCUCUCAAGAAUUGUGGCAAACUACAGUGUAUAGAAAUCAUGUGUUCAGAAUAAUGUAGUGCAUAAAGUUCCGGGGGGGGGGGGGGGGGGAGCAGAGGCCAUUUGCGUGGGUUAAGAAACCAAAUUAUGUUAUUAAGGAGGUCGAAAGAUUUUGUGAUAAUAACAGGUGUACCAGACCAAAUUUCACAGUUUCGAUACAUCUCUGUAUUAUAUUAAAUAUGAUAUAACAUCAUACGAUAGCUACUUUUCCCCAGUGGUAAUAACUUGUUGAAAUGUAUGCACUGUAAAGGGUAUGCACUGUAAUAUAUAAUGUAUACAAAUGUGGGACCAAAUGCUCCCCCCCCCCCCUCCCCCCCAGCACAAUAAGUGUUAAACAUGUAAUAUUGUACGUUUGCGUGAACGAAAAACAGUUAAUUAAUCCAAAAGAGUGAAAGGUUGCCGAAAUAUUAGGUCCUACCCAACGUAAAAUACAACCUUCUAGAAAUGUUUUGCAAAAAAUGUAAUUUGCGUAAUGUAAUAGCCAGAAUGAAGCUACAGUAACAAAUUUUUCUGAUACAAUUAAGUAAAUUGUCUUAUACGUUACAGAUCUUUAACUACUUACUGUAUUGCAAACUUUUUUUGUCUACUUUUAGUACUUACAGAUCUAAACGGCUGGAUAGUGUAAAUAGAUGGACUUCAAGAAAUCCUCCGAGACUUUAACUCAAAUGCAGAUAGAGGGCAAAAAAGGACUUUUUAUUUUUUUAUUUUACAAGUUUUGCCGUUAAAAUUGCAGGGGCGGAUCAAUACUCAUCUGACAGGAGGGGUGCAGAUUUCCGGAGGGGGGGGGGGG